GUUGCCAUAGAAACGGAGCGCCAACACAACAACUGACAAGCCGGGAAUCACUGACUUUUGCUGCUGUUUUCAAAGCUUUCGGAAAGAGAAAGAAACCUCAGAAACAGGAGAAGCUCCAAGAUUUCACAAUUUCUGAAGGCAGAAGAACUGGGAAAGCUUCUUAAAUUUUUAAGAGGGCUUUGACAUCCAUUCUUCAGUGCUAAUGGCCUGCUGCACCCCAGAGUCCUGUCAGACAACAUCUACAAAGAACACCGAACCAUAUGGCUAAUAACUUAACCUCAAAUAUACACUAUUGUUCAAAAUUCAUCACUAGAGAUUACGCCAGUUCCAGUUUGGAUCCAGCCUUCAGAAGACACCAACACUCACGAUGACUUCAGAUGAUGACAACUGGAGGAACUUCUCAACAAAUUCACUUCACAGCGCAUCACUGGAAGGCUUUCCUAUGUAACAAACAUGGUUUUCCACUCUUGUAUUUAUCCAUAUCAGGUUUUCUGGGAUCCCAGUUGAAGACAUCAGCACAUCAGAUGUUGGUCUGGACAGCUGUACCUACAGUACACCACACUGACCUCUCUGCUUUUGCAUGGAUAGCUUACUACUACCAUGUUCUGUGAAGGUAUUAUUAUAGCAAAACUGAGCACCUGUGACAGUGGAAUCUGCAGGUGUAAAGAAUAGUCGCACAUGCAUAUCAGUAAACUGAAGUCACAAAAGUUUUUUUUAGGAGUUGCAAAUGUUUUAUUUACUCUUUCUUUUUCAUAAACACAACACAACAGUAACACCAUUUCAAAUUCUGAGGUGCACAAAUCCUAUUCUACAAAUCACAAAAUAAAGAAACCCAUAUGCUCACAGUUUGGACAGAGCUGCUGUAGUGAAUGUGGGGCAAAACACACUUUUACACCCCAAUCAAAAAUGUGAAAUCAUGAACAAAUGUUGCACAUUUGUAUAUACAGUCGUGGUCCGAAUAACUGGCACCCUUGAUAAAUAUGAAAAAAGACUCAAGGUGAUGCUGGUUACUGCAUGAUGAUUGAAAUCACGCAAAUGGCCUUAAGCCAGGGGUGUCCAAACUCGGUCCUGGAGGGCCGGUGUCCUGCAGAGUUUAGCUCCAAUUUGCCUCAACACACCUGCCUGUACGUUUCGAGUGGAAGUUGCCUAGUAAGACCUUGAUUAGCUAGUUCAGUUGUGUUUAAUUCGAUUUGGAGCUAAACUCUGCAGGACAGUGGCCCUCCAGGACUGAAUUUAGACACCCGAGCCUUAAGCAACUAAAUAAACUGUAAAAAUAUUGUUUUCUAAAACAUCAUGGACAGAAUAUUCCUGAGAGCACUGUACAAACCCGCAGCGCCACCUGCAGGACCGUUAAAAGCAUUCAAAUGCUUCAAAGCGCCAAAUGUGAUUAAGUGCUGAAGCGUGUUACUCGCCCGGUAACUUAUAUGAAUGGUGGGGAGAAUAUGAGAUUGCUUAAUACUAUCAUAAAAUUUGCAACCGAUGUGGUGUAAUUAUAUAAAUAGAGGCUAUAGUCUGACGCGCUACAUGUCUGCUGUAACAGUACUGUUCGAUUUACUGUAAAUGCUGUGUUAGUGUAACUUUAAUUUGCAUUUGGGAAUUCAACAUUCGUCAUUAGAAUCGUCUAUAAAUCUUUUGUUGUUUACAGAGAGAAGUUUCAGUGUCACAUGAUCAUUCAGAAAUCAUUCUAAUAUGCUGAUUUGCUAAUCAAGAAGCAUUAACUAUUUAUUAUUAGCAAUAUUAAAAAGAGUUUUUGCUGUUUAACUUUUUUGUAGAAACAAUGAUAC
ensembl:lncRNA